GCCUCCCUCCGCCGCCNCUCAGACUCCUACGGAGGCCGGCAGUUAGGAAUCUUGCGCAAUGGGAGCAAUCCUGACGCAGCGAUGCCGCGUGAGGGACGAAGGCCUUCGGGUUGUAAACCUCUUUUAGUUGGAAGAUACAAGACGGUACCAACAGAAAAAGCACCGGCUAACUCUGUGCCAGCAGCCGCGGUAAUUC
rnacentral:rRNA from 1 species